UACGUAGGGGGCUAGCGUUGUCCGGAUUUAUUGGGCGUAAAGAGCGUGUAGGCGGUGCUCUAAGUCUGUCGUGAAAUCUCCCGGCUUAACUGGGAGGGUGCGGCGGAUACUAUUGUGCUAGAGGGUGGGAGAGGUAAGCGGAAUUCCUGGUGUAGCGGUGAAAUUCGUAGAUAUUCGGAAGAACACCAGUGGCGAAGGCGGCUCACUGGACUGGUAUUGACGCUGAGGUGCGAAAGCGUGGGGAGCAAACAGG
rnacentral:rRNA from 1 species